GGUUCGAUCAAGGCUCGCAUCGAACGCUGGCGGGAUGCUUUACAUGCAAGUCGAACGGCAGCACGGACUUCGGUCUGGUGGCGAGUGGCGAACGGUGAGUAAUGUAUCGGAACGUGCCUAGUAGCGGGGGAUAACUACGCGAAAGCGCAGCUAAUACCGCAUACGCCUCGGGGGAAAGCGGGGACCUUCGGGCCUCGCACUAUUAGAGCGGCCGAUAUCGGAUUAGCUAGUUGGUGGGGUAACGGCUCACCAAGGCGACGAUCCGUAGCUGGUUUGAGAGGACGACCAGCCACACUUUUCGGGACUGAGACACGGCCCAGACUCCUACGGGAGGCAGCAGGGGAAUUUUGGACAAUGGGAAACUCGAUCCAGCCAUCCCGCGUGUGCGAUGAAGGCCUUCGGUUGUAAAGCACUUUUGGCAGGAAAGAAACGGCACGGGAUAAUACCCGCAACUGAUGGUACCUGCAGAAUAAGCACCGGCUAAAACUACGCGCCAGCAGCCGCGGUAAUACGGAAGGCAAGCGUUAAUCGGAAUUACUGGGCGUAAAGCGUGCGCAGGCGGUUCGGAAAAAGAAAGAUGUGAAAUCCCAGAGCUUAACUUUGAACUUUAACUACCGAGCGAGAGUGUGUCAGAGGGAGGUGGAAUUCUGCGGUAGCAGUGAAUGCGUAGAUAUGCGAGGGAACACCGAUGGCGAAGGCAGCCUCCCUGAUAACACUGACGCUCAUGCACGAAGGCGUGGGGAGCAAACAGGAUUAGAUACCCUGGUAGUCCACGCCCUAAACGAUGUCAACUAGCUGUUGGGGCCUUCGGCUCCGGUAGCGCAGCUAACGCGUGAAGUUGACCGCCUGGGGAGAGUACGGUCGCAAGAUUAAAACUCAAAGGAAUUGACGGGGACCCGCACAAGCGGUGGAUGAUGUAGACACUCCGAUGCAACGCGAAAAACCUUACCUACCCUUGACAUGUCUGGAAUCCCGAAGAGAUUUGGGAGUGCUCGCAGAGAACCGGAACACAGGUGCUGCAUGGCUGUCGUCAGCUCGUGUCGUGAGAUGUUGGGUUAAGUCCCGCAACGAGUUGGCAACCCUUGUCAUUAGUUGCCACGUGAAAGGCACUCUAUCGAGACUGCCGGUGACAAACCGGAGGAAGGUGGGGAUGACGUCGUCCUCAUGGCCCUUAUGGGUAGGGCUUCACACGUCAUACAAUGGUCGGGACAGAGGGUCACCAACCUGCGAGGGGGAGCCAAUCCCAGAAACCUGACCAGGUCCGGAUCGCAGUCUGCAACGACUAUGGAAGUCGGAAUCGCUAGUAAUCGCGGAUCAGCAUGUCGCGGUGAAUACGCUCCCGGGUCUUGUACACACCGCCCGUCACACCAUGGGAGUGGGUUUUACCAGAAGUAGUUAGCCUUAACCGUAAGGAGGGCGAUUACCACGGUAGGAUUCAUGACUGGGGUGAAGUCGUAACAAGGU
rnacentral:rRNA from 1 species